rnacentral:lncRNA from 1 species
AUGGUGUUCGUUGGCUACAGUAGGUUCGUUGUAGGAGUAGGUUUAUUCUUAUAGGAGAUUUAUCGACCUUAGUAGUUGAGGAGUAGUCCCAUGCGACCUAAGAGACUGAGUCCUUAAAUCUAUGGCUACAAUAACGUGAUAAUAAAAGAAGUUUUCAUGGGAUUCACGAUUGGACUUAAGCUAAUUAAGUCUUGCAUAUGACAGAUGCUUAGAGUUUGACGAGUUUUCAUGAUUUGCAUCCUAUC